rnacentral:rRNA from 1 species
CCUACGGGCGGCUGCAGUAGGGAAUAUUGCACAAUGGGGGAAACCCUGAUGCAGCGACGCCGCGUGGAGGAUGAAGGAUUUAGGUUUGUAAACUCCUUUUGUCAGGGAAGAUAAUGACGGUAUCUGACUAAUAAGCACCGGCUAACUACGUGCCAGCAGCCGCGGUAAUACGGAGGGUGCAAGCGUUACCCGGAUUUACUGGGCGUAAAGGGUGCGUAGACGGCCGUGUAAGUCUGGUGUGAAAUGCUGUAGCUUAACUACGGAACUGCAUUUGAAACUGUGCGGCUAGAGUGUAGGAGAGGUAGGUGGAAUUCCUAGUGUAGGGGUAAAAUCCGUAGAUAUUAAGAGGAACACUAGUUGCGAAGGCGACUUACUGGAAUAUAACUGACGCUGAUGCACGAAAGCGUGGGGAGCAAACAGGAUUAGAUACCCUAGUAGUC